AAAGAUAAAACCAACUCUGAACCUUCAAUCGGCAAAGAGUUGGAUUGAACACAACUACUCAACAAACAUGUAGUGUUAAGAAGGUAGAAGGACUUUUCGAUGUAUAAAGAUGAUGUCAGCUUCUAAUAAUGGAAUAUGGGAAGAGAGGCUUACAAUCAUGAUGUAUGGGAUGGUGCAAGGACAGCCAUAGCUGCUGCCUGGGAUGCCCAGGGAAGAAUUUGGCAUGGUUUUGAGAUAGAUGGUUUGGAGAAGAUCCCUGACAAGGGUGCAGCAUUGAUUGUAUACUACCAUGGAACUUUACCCAUUGACUUCUAUUACCUUGCUGCCAGAUGUUUACUGGAAAAGAAGAGACAUAUAAGAGCAGUAGGGGACAAUUUCCUUUUCCAUAUACCAGGGUUAAGAAGGUUUUUGGAGGUCUUCAGAGUCACCCCUGGUACACUACAAAGCUGUGUUAGUGUCUUGAAUGAUGGACACUUGCUGGCCAUUGCUCCAGUACAUGUGCGUUACAGGUGGGGUGAGAGAAGCGUUGUUUGGUGAUGAGAACUAUCCCAUAUUGUGGGGAAAACGUCAGGGAUUUGCCAAAGCUGCUAUACAAGCAAAUGUGCCAAUAAUUCCAGUGUUCACACAGAAUGUUAGAGAAGCCUUUAGAACCCCCAAGGUUACCAGGGCUUGUCUACGAAGGUUGUAUGAAAAGACUCGCCUUCCUCUUGUUCCAAUCUAUGGAUUCUUUCCUGUUAAAUUCAAGAUGUUUAUAGGGGAUCCCAUUUAUCCAAAAAAGGACCAAACUUCAGAAUCACUUUCUAAUGAGGUAAUGAAUUCCGUAGGAACCUUGAUAUAUCAGCAUCAGAGACUGCCGGGCAAUAUUCUCUUCGCCCUGAUUGACAGACUUGUGUGAGAAAGGCAGACACGCCCAUUACCCAAUGCUGGCUUUCAUCAGAGACCUAAACAUGGAUACUAUUAAAUAUAGGUCCCUGCUUUCAUCAAUUUCUCAGGAGUAGUGUGUAGAAAUCAACUGUUCUUCAGAUAAGUAUACCAUGUUCCCACUGCCAUAUAAGGUUGAUUCCAAUUUGUCUGUUUGCCUUUGAAAGCAACAUAUCUCCAAUAUUUCAACAAUCAUCAUCUUGUAGUUAAAAAGAAAGGGUGGGUGUCACCAUUGUGGAUGGAAGACACUAUGUACAUCUAAUUGUGGAAAUGAAUAUUUGAUAGAAACUUUUGUGAUAUUAACUACGAUUUAGAUGAAAUCUGAUUAAUAUUAGACAGGUAAAACCACUCCACUACAAUAAGCUAUACAAGAUCCACCAACAUUCCAUACAAAGUCAUCUCAGGACGACCUUUUAAGUGUAAAUAAACAUAUACAUGAAAACCAAUCGGAUUCAAGCUUUAGUAAACAAGUCUUACAUACUUUGAUAGCUUUAUUUCUUAUAACUAUCUCUAAUGCUUGGUUGUCUAUUUUGUGCCCAUUUAAGUUUUUCUGCCAAUAUUGUGUGUAAAAUCCUUCUGAUUUGCUAUUUUUCCUUGAAUAAUGCAAAUGACAAUUACCGUACAAAAACUCAGAAACUUCGCCAUAACUUUGUUCACUUUACGAGGCAUCUCGGGGAUUGAAGUUCAUCAGUGAUAAAGAAACACAUGUUCAAACUACCAGUCAAGAUUUCGACAGCAGUGAUUUCAUUGGCUAUUUGAAAGGUCACUCUGAGAUGACCCUGUAAGGGAUAUUGUUAGAUCAUGAACAGCAUAUCGUAGAGGAGCGGUUUUACGAGUCUAAUUUUAAAAAGAUUUAGGUGUAAAAAUAAAAGUCAGAAGAGCAGUUUACUUUUUAUAUAGUUGCUACCGAUAAGAACAAGCAUUUGAUAUUAUUUUUUUAGUUUUCUUAAUUUGAUACCACCACUUGUAUAUAAAGUGAGUAAACAAUUUUGAACAGCAUUUAGAUUUAUAUAUACAAAUCAUAGAAUUGUGAUGUAGUACAGUGUCUGUUAAAUGUUUUACGUUUAUAAAUUUGAAUAUACAUCAAACUCUAAUAUAAAGAGGUUAAUUUAAUAUUUAAUUAUUUAAAGCUGUUUGUCUUUUCUAUAGAUACCAGUUUAUGUAUGUAGAGUAGUCUUUGUUAGCAUUUGUAUGUUGUUAUACAUCUACUAAAUUUUUGAUGAUUAUGAUAUGCAAGUUGUUAUGCGAUAUUGAUGAAAUUCAUAAAGAAAAUGUAGAAUUAAAAGAGCGAAAAUGAAUGUUAGGAAUGAAAAUGUUUCUCUGUAAUAAAGAUUUAUGAUAUUUAUAUGAUUUAGGAAUGCACAGAAAGACAGUGUUUUGCAAAUUCCAUUUAUUUUUAUUUUUCCCCUUAUUAUAUUUAUAUAUAUGUAUGAAACUUGAAAUAUUUUAUAAGAAUGUGUACAAUAGGAUAACAGGUGGGAUAUUAUUUCAAAUUCAUUGACAAAUGUAAAAUUUUUGCAAUUUUAUUCUUUAAUGUUCUGUCUAAAUUUAAAAGUGCUAUAGUGAAAAAGUAAGCAUUUGUUAUAAGUAACUUAAUUGUAUAAUGCUUUUGAAACUGUGAUUCUGUCCUCAAAUGGGCUAAUAGCUGUGAAUAACAUACUAGUACAUAUGUACAUACCGUAUAUAUUUAUUUCCCACUGAUCUCUAUUCAUGUGCACCAAACAUGUGGCAAUGUAUUUUUGACAUUAAAAUGUUUGUGUUCAAUAGAUACAAUCCUUUGAUAUCAGUUUUAUGUGUCUGUUUUUACUGUCUGUCUUAGAAAUGUGGAAUAUUAUUUCAUUUUUUUUUCCAAGCAAUUUUUGUUGCAAAGAACAUUCAAUAUUUGUUUCUUGUCGAUGUUAUUAUUAAAGUUUUGACUGAG
rnacentral:misc_RNA from 1 species